rnacentral:rRNA from 1 species
ACGAACGCUGGCGGCGUGCUUAACACAUGCAAGUCGAACGGAAAGGCCCUGCUUUUGUGGGGUGCUCGAGUGGCGAACGGGUGAGUAACACGUGAGUAAUCUGCCCUUGACUUUGGGAUAACUUCAGGAAACUGGGGCUAAUACCGGAUAGGAGCUCCUGCUGCAUGGUGGGGGUUGGAAAGUUUCGGCGGUUGGGGAUGGACUCGCGGCUUAUCAGCUUGUUGGUGGGGUAGUGGCUUACCAAGGCUUUGACGGGUAGCCGGCCUGAGAGGGUGACCGGCCACAUUGGGACUGAGAUACGGCCCAGACUCCUACGGGAGGCAGCAGUGGGGAAUAUUGCACAAUGGGCGGAAGCCUGAUGCAGCAACGCCGCGUGCGGGAUGACGGCCUUCGGGUUGUAAACCGCUUUCGCCUGUGACGAAGCGUGAGUGACGGUAAUGGGUAAAGAAGCACCGGCUAACUACGU